rnacentral:misc_RNA from 1 species
AAGUAAAGUCGUAACAAGGUUUCCGUAGGUGAACUGCGGAAGGAUCAUUAAUAAAUGGUCUACGUUUUUUAAGUAGACGCUUAAUAUCCUACCCUUUGUGAAUUGUUGUUUGAAAUAAUUUUUUUUAAAAUUAUUGAUUGUCUUUCCUGUUGAAUUGGUUGUCUUAAUGGCAAAUGAUCGCAGGGAGUGUCAGUAAUUUUAAAAGACCUUUUUUAAAUUAACUUUUUGUAUUCAUUUGUCUAAAAUUAUUUUUAUAAUAAAAACAACUUUUGACAAUGGAUCUCUUGGUUCUCGCAACGAUGAAGAACGCAGCAAAAUGCGAUAAGUAGUGUGAAUUGCAGAAUACGUGAAUCAUCGAAUCUUCGAACGCAUAUUGCACUUUUUAGUUUACUAAAAAGUAUGUCUGUUGAGUAUCAGUAAAUAUCUCAUAAAACUUUUGUUUUAUGGUUAUGAGUGUUUACAACGAUACAAGUGUUUCACUUAAAUUUUUUAAAUUUGAAUUUUCUAAUUUAAAUAAAAUUGGAUAAAUUUCCCGUAAAAAGGAAUAACCUAACAAUUUAAUUUUUGAUUAGAAUCUUCAAUUAUAAGGAAAUUUAACUAAAUAACUUGAUCUCAAAUCAGAUAAGAGUACCCGCUGAACUUAAGCAUAUCAAUAGCGAGGAAAAGAACUAACAAGGAUUCCUUAGUAACGGCGAGUGAAGCGGGAAGAGCUCAAUUGAAAUCUUCAAGGUUUACCUUGACGAAUUGUAGUUUAAAGAAGUGUUUCUGUUGAAGUUUUGGUAAAGUUCUUUGGAAUAGGACAUCAUAGAGGGUGAGAAUCCCGUAUUUGACCAUUAUUUUCAGCUGUGAUACACUUCAAAGAGUCGGAUGUUUGGGAAUGCAGUCCAAAUGGGUGGUAAAUUCAUCUAAAGCUAAUAUUGGCGAGAGACCGAUAGCGAACAAGUACCGUGAGGGAAAGAUGAAAAGAACUUUGAAAAGAGAGUUAAACAGUACGUGAAAUUGUCAAAAGGAAGCGUUUGACACCAGUGUGUUUUCUCGAAAAUCAAUUAAAAAAGUUGGAUUUUGUGUUGUAUUGACCUUAACAGCUUGCUUCACUCUUUCUUGCUUUUUUAAUGCACUUUUCGUUUAACAAGUCAACAUCAGUUCUUUUGUUGUAAAGGGUCAUUGGAAGGUGGCUUUCUCCUCGGAGAAAGUGUUAUAGCCUUUGAUCUCUGCAAUCGGAGAGACUGAGGUCUGCAGCGUAGAUCCUUCGGGUUAGAUACAUUGUGCUAAGCUACAGCUUUCAUAGACAACUUGUUGACUAUGUUUAGUCUUGUAACUUACCCGCUUAUGCUAUUUACCUACGCUUAGGAUGUUG